rnacentral:rRNA from 1 species
CAACCUGCCCACCACUUGGGGAUAACCUUGCGAAAGUAAGACUAAUACCCAAUGACAUCCCACNAANGCAUCCGAAUGGGAUUAAAGAUUUAUCGGUGAUGGAUGGGGAUGCGUCUGAUUAGCUUGUUGGCGGGGUAACGGCCCACCAAGGCAACGAUCAGUAGGGGUUCUGAGAGGAAGGUCCCCCACAUUGGAACUGAGACACGGUCCAAACUCCUACGGGAGGCAGCAGUGAGGAAUAUUGGUCAAUGGGCGAGAGCCUGAACCAGCCAAGUAGCGUGCAGGAUGACGGCCCUAUGGGUUGUAAACUGCUUUUAUAAGGGAAUAAAGUGAGUCUCGUGAGACUUUUUGCAUGUACCUUAUGAAUAAGGACCGGCUAAUUCCGUGCCAGCAGCCGCGGUAAUACGGAAGGUCCGGGCGUUAUCCGGAUUUAUUGGGUUUAAAGGGAGCGUAGGCCGGAGAUUAAGCGUGUUGUGAAAUGUAGAUGCUCAACAUCUGAACUGCAGCGCGAACUGGUUUCCUUGAGUACGCACAAAGUGGGCGGAAUUCGUGGUGUAGCGGUGAAAUGCUUAGAUAUCACGAAGAACUCCGAUUG